CGUCCAAAAUUGCCUUCUCGACUGCUGCGUUCAAGUAACUCGAAACGCUGGGAAAAGGGAGAUUCGAGUUGUUAAGCGUUAAAUUAAGUGAAUCAGGGUUAUCUGUUCUUGGUAAUUCUUUAGUUAACAUUAGCUGAGAGUUUAUGCAAGUGAACUGCAAUGCAGUUGAAUGUAUUCACAGCCAUAAACGAGAUAUUGAAUUUAAGAAGCCAGAAACCCCGAGUUCCGAUUAGCCGUGAACGCAGCACAGGACACCACGAGGACGACAGCAAAGAGAGACCAGGAGACGCACCUGUAGGCAGUUUCAGAGAGAAAGACGGUUUUAAGAGGCGAAACUUUUAACAAACUCGAAGCCACGAUGAACACUAGAAGGGGAGCUUUGAAUCCUGUGCCACCAAAGGUCAGCAAGGCUUCCACUCCUGCUGAGGAGAAAGAGCAAAUUGCUCCUACAAUCAAACAUGAGUUGGCCAUGGUCAAACUUCAGCUGGAAGCUGAGAGAGAGCGAGGAAGACUCCGAGAAGAAACCAUAGCAAUGCUGAAGUCCGACAAAGAUUAUUUGC